GACGAACCCUGGCGGCGUGCUUAACACAUGCAAGUCGAACGGAAAGGCCCUGCUUUUGUGGGGUGCUCGAGUGGCGAACGGGUGAGUAACACGUGAGUAACCUGCCCAUGACUUUGGGAUAACUUCAGGAAACUGGGGCUAAUACCGGAUAGGAGCUCCUGCUGCAUGGUGGGGGUUGGAAAGUUUCGGCGGUUGGGGAUGGACUCGCGGCUUAUCAGCUUGUUGGUGGGGUAGUGGCUUACCAAGGCUUUGACGGGUAGCCGGCCUGAGAGGGUGACCGGCCACAUUGGGACUGAGAUACGGCCCAGACUCCUACGGGAGGCAGCAGUGGGGAAUAUUGCACAAUGGGCGGAAGCCUGAUGCAGCAACGCCGCGUGCGGGAUGACGGCCUUCGGGUUGUAAACCGCUUUCGCCUGUGACGAAGCGUGAGUGACGGUAAUGGGUAAAGAAGCACCGGCUAACUACGUG
rnacentral:rRNA from 1 species